rnacentral:lncRNA from 1 species
UUAGUGUGUCUGAUGGUGGUUGGUGUGUGUUGCUGAUGGUGGUUAGUGGUGUGGCUGAAUGGUGGGUUGGUGUGCGCGCUGAUGGUGGUUGGGGUGUGCGCUGAUGGUGGUUGGUGUGUGUGCUGAUGGUGAUUGGUGUGCACUGAUGGUGGUUGGUGUGUGUGCUGAUGGUGGUUAGUGUGUGCUGAUGGUGGUUGGUGUGUGUGCACUGAUGGUGGGUUUGUGUGUGUGCUGCAUGGUGGUGUGCAACUGAUGGUGUUGGUUGUGUGCUGAUGGUGGUUGG